AUUUUCUUAUCCACCAUAUCUUGAUCAAACUUCAGAUAACCUUAACCUAAUAUUUGAAAAGUGAAUAGUUUAAAGUCAUUUGUUGAAUUGUUCUUUUGCUGUAGGGUAAUAGCCAAACAGUGACAACCAAACAGAGGAUUUUGCAAGCAGAGCACCUCUGCUGGCAGCAGCAACCCAGGGUGGCAGCUGUUCUGAAGGAAAGGCAUGGGUUUGACACUGAGGAGGGUGGAGGGAAAGCUCAAAGGGUGAGAAUGGUCCCCAAAGUCUUAAACUGUAAGUACAGAAUACAGGACAGUACUUUCGGUAAUAGGGUAAUGGGGCAAAGAACUUCCUGGUGACUUCUGCACACACAAACACACACACACGCGCGCGCGCAAAAACGGCUGGGAGAACAGACAAUUCAUCCACACUACUACAUGUCGGCAGCAUAGGCAGAGGCUGGGUAUUAGAGGAGUCAGAAUCCAGGCUUAGAAUCUAGGCAACCAGCCCAAUUCCUCAGUAGACAGAGGGACGCUCUCUCUAAGCCAAAAGGAGGCUUUGUUUGGCAAAGCUCAUCCGUGGGAUGGCUGGGUGGGGGUAGAGAAAGAAGAAACACCUGGCAGGGCAUGAAAAUGGGAGAUGAAGGCUGGUUCUGCCCAAUCCAAUGGCUUAUAUCCUUUUCCUUGAACCUACAUUAGAAGCCCUGUUAUGGGCUGAAUUAUGUCCCCCCCCCCCACCAAAGAUGUGAAUGUCCUAGCCCCCAACCUGUGAAUGUGAUCUUAUUUGAAAAUAGGGGCUUUGCAUAUGAUCAAGCUCAAAUGAGGUGAUUAGCAUUGGGCCUAAUCCAAUAUGGCUGUAUCAUUACAAAAAGGGGGAAUUUAGACCCAGAAACAGACACGCAUACAGGGAGAAUCCCAUGUAAAGAUGAAGGCAGAGAUUGGGGUGAUGUAUCUACAGGCCAAGAAUGCCAGAGAUUGCCAGGAAACUGCCAGAAGCUAGGAGAGGGGCAUGGAAGAAUUUCUCCUUGACAGCUCUCAGAAGGAAUCAACCCUACCAAACUUCGACUUUGGACUUCUAGCUUCCGGAAUGAUGGAGUCUCACUCUGUCACCCAGACUGGAAUACAGUGGUUCAAUCUCGGCUCACUGCAGCCUCUGCCACCCAGGUUCAAGCUAUUCUCCCAAGUAGCUGGGACUACAGAGGAGCCUGUCCCUAGAGAGAAACUCUGAAAAAUACUAUAUAGAACUGGUGAAUUUUCAAAAGGGGCUUGAAAGGAAAAAGAUAAUUAAACAGCAAGAAACAAACUCUCAAAUGACAGGUAAGCUCUAAGUACAAUGAAGCAGGCAGCCAAAUUGAUUUCAUAAUGAAUUUGCCUCUUUACUAUCCAUUUUGAAUAAUAAAAUUUAUAUAAAUCCAGACCA
rnacentral:lncRNA from 13 species